AUUGAACGCUGGCGGCAUGCCUUACACAUGCAAGUCGAACGGUAACAGGUCUUCGGAUGCUGACGAGUGGCGAACGGGUGAGUAAUACAUCGGAACGUGCCCGAGAGUGGGGGAUAACGAGGCGAAAGCUUUGCUAAUACCGCAUACGAUCUCAGGAUGAAAGCAGGGGACCGCAAGGCCUUGCGCUCACGGAGCGGCCGAUGGCAGAUUAGGUAGUUGGUGGGAUAAAAGCUUACCAAGCCGACGAUCUGUAGCUGGUCUGAGAGGACGACCAGCCAAAAGGGGACUGAGACACGGCCCAGACUCCUACGGGAGGCAGCAGUGGGGAAUUUUGGACAAUGGGCGCAAGCCUGAUCCAGCCAUGCCGCGUGCAGGAUGAAGGCCUUCGGGUUGUAAACUGCUUUUGUACGGAACGAAAAGACUCCUUCUAAUAAAGGGGGUCCAUGACGGUACCGUAAGAAUAAGCACCGGCUAACUACGUGCCAGCCGCCGCCGUAAGAC
rnacentral:rRNA from 1 species